rnacentral:rRNA from 1 species
AGAACGCUGAAGAGAGGAGCUUGCUCUUCUUGGAUGAGUUGCGAACGGGUGAGUAACGCGUAGGUAACCUGCCUGGUAGCGGGGGAUAACUAUUGGAAACGAUAGCUAAUACCGCAUAAAAUUGAUUAUUGCAUGAUAAUUAAUUGAAAGAUGCAAUUGCAUCACUACCAGAUGGACCUGCGUUGUAUUAGCUAGUUGGUGAGGUAACGGCUCACCAAGGCGACGAUACAUAGCCGACCUGAGAGGGUGAUCGGCCACACUGGGGCUGAGACACGGCCCAGACUCCUACGGGAGGCAGCAGUAGGGAAUCUUCGGCAAUGGGGGGAACCCUGACCGAGCAACGCCGCGUGAGUGAAGAAGGUUUUCGGGUCGUAAAGCUCUGUUGUAAGAGAAGAACGGGUGUGAGAGUGGAAAGUUCACACUGUGACGGUAUCUUACCAGAAAGGGACGGCUAACUACGUGCCAGCAGCCGCGGUAAUACGUAGGUCCCGAGCGUUGUCCGGAUUUAUUGGGCGUAAAGCGAGCGCAGGCGGUUAGAUAAGUCUGAAGUUAAAGGCUGUGGCUUAACCAUAGUAUGCUUUGGAAACUGUUUAACUUGAGUGCAGAAGGGGAGAGUGGAAUUCCAUGUGUAGCGGUGAAAUGCGUAGAUAUAUGGAGGAACACCGGUGGCGAAAGCGGCUCUCUGGUCUGUAACUGACGCUGAGGCUCGAAAGCGUGGGGAGCAAACAGGAUUAG